UACGGAGGGUGCGAGCGUUGUCCGGAAUCACUGGGCGUAAAGGGCGCGUAGGCGGCCUGUUAAGUCGGGGGUGAAAUCCUGGGGCUUAACCGCAGGGCUGCCUUCUAAACUGUCGGGCUAGAGCACGGUAGAGGCAGAUGGAAUUCCCGGUGUAGCGGUGGAAUGCGUAGAGAUCGGGAAGAACAUCAGUGGCGAAGGCGGUCUGCUGGGCCGUUGCUGACGCUGAGGCGCGACAGCGUGGGGAGCAAACAGG
rnacentral:rRNA from 1 species